UACGGAGGGAGCGAGCGUUGUCCGAAGUUACUGGGCGUAAAGCGCGUGUAGGCGGCUCGGUAAGUCUGCUGUGAAAGUCCAGGGCUCAACCCUGGAAUGCCGGUGGAUACUGUCGAGCUCGAGUCCGGAAGAGGCGAGUGGAAUUCCUGGUGUAGCGGUGAAAUGCGCAGAUAUCAGGAGGAACACCAAUGGCGAAGGCAGCUCGCUGGGACGGUACUGACGCUGAGACGCGAAAGCGUGGGGAGCAAACAGG
rnacentral:rRNA from 1 species